rnacentral:lncRNA from 1 species
AAAAAAAUCAAAUAAUCGAAAAACAGGAGAUAGGUGUCUAGCAGACUCUUAACAGUUUCGAUAAUCAUAAGCAUGAGCUGUUAACCAGAUAUGAAGUUGAAUUAGAAAUGUUUGAACAGAACUAUAUGUAGAUUCGUUCAACAAAACAAUUUCGACAAACAAAAAGUAUGUUUAUGAGAAACCUAAAAACGCACACACAAUACAACGC